ACGAAAAGACCCCAUGGAGCUUCAAACCCAACUACACCCUUAACUACCACAACCGCACAACCUCUUAGGGCCCUGUAUAGUUGGUUUUAGGUUGGGGCGACCACGGAGUACAACCAAACCUCCGCAAUGGACGGGACCACUCCCUUAUCUAAGAGCCACACCUCUAAGAAUUAAAACACUAACAUAAAAUGAUCCAUGAUCUGAUCAAUGAACCAAGUUACCCUGGGGAUAACAGCGCAAUCCAUUUCAAGAGCCCUUAUCGACAAGUGGGUUUACGACCUCGAUGUUGGAUCAGGGUAUCCUAGUGGUGCAGCAGCUACUAAUGGUUCGUUUGUUCAACGAUUAAAACCCU
rnacentral:rRNA from 1 species